rnacentral:rRNA from 1 species
AUUGAACGCUGGCGGCAGGCCUAACACAUGCAAGUCGAACGGUAGCACAGAGAGCUUGCUCUCGGGUGACGAGUGGCGGACGGGUGAGUAAUGUCUGGGAAACUGCCCGAUGGAGGGGGAUAACUACUGGAAACGGUAGCUAAUACCGCAUAAUGUCGCAAGACCAAAGAGGGGGACCUUCGGGCCUCUUGCCAUCGGAUGUGCCCAGAUGGGAUUAGCUAGUUGGUGAGGUAAUGGCUCACCAAGGCGACGAUCCCUAGCUGGUCUGAGAGGAUGACCAGCCACACUGGAACUGAGACACGGUCCAGACUCCUACGGGAGGCAGCAGUGGGGAAUAUUGCACAAUGGGCGCAAGCCUGAUGCAGCCAUGCCGCGUGUGUGAAGAAGGCCUUCGGGUUGUAAAGCACUUUCAGCGGGGAGGAAGGCAAUACGGUUAAUAACCGUGUUGAUUGACGUUACCCGCAGAAGAAGCACCGGCUAACUCCGUG